rnacentral:rRNA from 1 species
AACGCUGGCGGCGUGCCUAACACGUGCAAGUCGAGCGGGGAACAUUGAAAGCUUGCUUUUGGUGUUUCUAGCGGCGGACGGGUGAGUAACGCGUGAGCAAUCUGUCUCAGACAGGGGGAUAACGCAGCGAAAGUUGCACUAAUACCGCAUAAGACCACAGAGCCACAUGGCAUAGGGGUCAAAGGAGCAAUCCGGUCUGAGGUGAGCUCGCGUCCCAUUAGGUAGUUGGUGAGGUAACGGCCCACCAAGCCUGCGAUGGGUAGCCGACCUGAGAGGGUGAUCGGCCACACUGGAACUGAGACACGGUCCAGACUCCUACGGGAGGCAGCAGUGGGGAAUAUUGGGCAAUGGGGGGAACCCUGACCCAGCAACGCCGCGUGAGGGAAGAAGGUUUUCGGAUUGUAAACCUCUGUCCUAAGAGAAGAGGGGAAGACGGUAUCUUAGGAGGAAGCCCCGGCUAACUACGUGCCAGCAGCCGCGGUAAUACGUAGGGGGCGAGCGUUGUCCGGAAUGAUUGGGCGUAAAGGGCGUGUAGGCGGCUUUAUAAGUCUGGAGUGAAAGUCCUGUUUUCAAGAUGGGAAUUGCUUUGGAUACUGUAGGGCUUGAGUGCAGGAGAGGUUAUCGGAAUUCCCGGUGUAGCGGUGAAAUGCGUAGAGAUCGGGAGGAACACCAGUGGCGAAGGCGGGUAACUGGACUGCAACUGACGCUGAGGCGCGAAAGUGUGGGGAGCAAACAGGAUUAGAUACCCUGGUAGUCCACACUGUAAACGAUGAAUGCUAGGUGUAGGGGGUAUCGACCCCUUCUGUGCCGGAGUAAACACAAUAAGCAUUCCGCCUGGGGAGUACGGCCGCAAGGUUGAAACUCAAAGGAAUUGACGGGGGCCCGCACAAGCAGCGGAGCAUGUGGUUUAAUUCGACGCAACGCGAAGAACCUUACCAGGUCUUGACAUCCACUUAAAGCCAUAGAGAUAUGGUGUGAGCUUGCUCGAAGUGAGACAGGUGGUGCAUGGUUGUCGUCAGCUCGUGUCGUGAGAUGUUGGGUUAAGUCCCGCAACGAGCGCAACCCUUGCUGAUAGUUACUAACGUGUAAAGACGAGGACUCUAUCAGGACUGCCGGGGACAACUCGGAGGAAGGUGGGGACGACGUCAAAUCAUCAUGCCCCUUAUGACCAGGGCUACACACGUGCUACAAUGGCGUAAACAAAGGGAAGCGACCCUGUGAAGGCAAGCGAAUCCCAAAAAUAACGUCCCAGUUCGGAUUGUAGUCUGCAACUCGACUACAUGAAGCUGGAAUCGCUAGUAAUCGCGAAUCAGCAUGUCGCGGUGAAUACGUUCCCGGGUCUUGCACUCACCGCCCGUCA